rnacentral:rRNA from 1 species
UACGUAGGGCGCAAGCGUUGUCCGGAAUUAUUGGGCGUAAAGAGCUCGUAGGCGGCCUGUUGCGUCCGCUGUGAAAACCCGGGGCUUAACCCCGGGCUUGCAGUGGAUACGGGCAGGCUGGAGGCAGGCAGGGGAGAACGGAAUUCCCGGUGUAGCGGUGAAAUGCGCAGAUAUCAGGAGGAACACCGGUGGCGAAGGCGGGUCUCUGGGCAGUAACUGACGCUGAGGAGCGAAAGCGUGGGGGAGCGAACAGG